UACGGGGGGGGCAAGCGUUGUUCGGAAUUACUGGGCGUAAAGGGCUCGUAGGUGGCCAACUAAGUCAGACGUGAAAUCCCUCAGCUUAACUGGGGAACUGCGUCUGAUACUGGAUGGCUUGAGUUUGGGAGAGGGAUGCGGAAUUCCAGGUGUAGCGGUGAAAUGCGUAGAUAUCUGGAAGAACACCCGUGGCGAAGGCGGUUCUCUGGGACGGUACUGACGCUGAGACGCGAAAGCGUGGGGAGCGAACAGG
rnacentral:rRNA from 1 species